UUAAGCGACUAAGCGUACACGGUGGAUGCCCUGGCAGUCAGAGGCGAUGAAGGACGUGCUAAUCUGCGAUAAGCGUCGGUAAGGUGAUAUGAACCGUUAUAACCGGCGAUUUCCGAAUGGGAAACCCAGUGUGUUUCGACACACUAUCAUUAACUGAAUCCAUAGGUUAAUGAGGCGAACCGGGGGAACUGAAACAUCUAAGUACCCCGAGGAAAAGAAAUCAACCGAGAUUCCCCCAGUAGCGGCGAGCGAACGGGGAGCAGCCCAGAGCCUGAAUCAGUGUGUGUGUUAGUGGAAGCGUCUGGAAAGGCGCGCGAUACAGGGUGACAGCCCCGUACACAAAAAUGCACAUGCUGUGAGCUCGAUGAGUAGGGCGGGACACGUGGUAUCCUGUCUGAAUAUGGGGGGACCAUCCUCCAAGGCUAAAUACUCCUGACUGACCGAUAGUGAACCAGUACCGUGAGGGAAAGGCGAAAAGAACCCCGGCGAGGGGAGUGAAAAAGAACCUGAAACCGUGUACGUACAAGCAGUGGGAGCACGCUUAGGCGUGUGACUGCGUACCUUUUGUAUAAUGGGUCAGCGACUUAUAUUCUGUAGCAAGGUUAACCGAAUAGGGGAGCCGAAGGGAAACCGAGUCUUAACUGGGCGUUAAGUUGCAGGGUAUAGACCCGAAACCCGGUGAUCUAGCCAUGGGCAGGUUGAAGGUUGGGUAACACUAACUGGAGGACCGAACCGACUAAUGUUGAAAAAUUAGCGGAUGACUUGUGGCUGGGGGUGAAAGGCCAAUCAAACCGGGAGAUAGCUGGUUCUCCCCGAAAGCUAUUUAGGUAGCGCCUCGUGAAUUCAUCUCCGGGGGUAGAGCACUGUUUCGGCAAGGGGGUCAUCCCGACUUACCAACCCGAUGCAAACUGCGAAUACCGGAGAAUGUUAUCACGGGAGACACACGGCGGGUGCUAACGUCCGUCGUGAAGAGGGAAACAACCCAGACCGCCAGCUAAGGUCCCAAAGUCAUGGUUAAGUGGGAAACGAUGUGGGAAGGCCCAGACAGCCAGGAUGUUGGCUUAGAAGCAGCCAUCAUUUAAAGAAAGCGUAAUAGCUCACUGGUCGAGUCGGCCUGCGCGGAAGAUGUAACGGGGCUAAACCAUGCACCGAAGCUGCGGCAGCGACGCUUAUGCGUUGUUGGGUAGGGGAGCGUUCUGUAAGCCUGCGAAGGUGUGCUGUGAGGCAUGCUGGAGGUAUCAGAAGUGCGAAUGCUGACAUAAGUAACGAUAAAGCGGGUGAAAAGCCCGCUCGCCGGAAGACCAAGGGUUCCUGUCCAACGUUAAUCGGGGCAGGGUGAGUCGACCCCUAAGGCGAGGCCGAAAGGCGUAGUCGAUGGGAAACAGGUUAAUAUUCCUGUACUUGGUGUUACUGCGAAGGGGGGACGGAGAAGGCUAUGUUGGCCGGGCGACGGUUGUCCCGGUUUAAGCGUGUAGGCUGGUUUUCCAGGCAAAUCCGGAAAAUCAAGGCUGAGGUGUGAUGACGAGGCACUACGGUGCUGAAGCAACAAAUGCCCUGCUUCCAGGAAAAGCCUCUAAGCAUCAGGUAACAUCAAAUCGUACCCCAAACCGACACAGGUGGUCAGGUAGAGAAUACCAAGGCGCUUGAGAGAACUCGGGUGAAGGAACUAGGCAAAAUGGUGCCGUAACUUCGGGAGAAGGCACGCUGAUAUGUAGGUGAAGUCCCUCGCGGAUGGAGCUGAAAUCAGUCGAAGAUACCAGCUGGCUGCAACUGUUUAUUAAAAACACAGCACUGUGCAAACACGAAAGUGGACGUAUACGGUGUGACGCCUGCCCGGUGCCGGAAGGUUAAUUGAUGGGGUUAGCGCAAGCGAAGCUCUUGAUCGAAGCCCCGGUAAACGGCGGCCGUAACUAUAACGGUCCUAAGGUAGCGAAAUUCCUUGUCGGGUAAGUUCCGACCUGCACGAAUGGCGUAAUGAUGGCCAGGCUGUCUCCACCCGAGACUCAGUGAAAUUGAACUCGCUGUGAAGAUGCAGUGUACCCGCGGCAAGACGGAAAGACCCCGUGAACCUUUACUAUAGCUUGACACUGAACAUUGAGCCUUGAUGUGUAGGAUAGGUGGGAGGCUUAGAAGUGUGGACGCCAGUCUGCAUGGAGCCGACCUUGAAAUACCACCCUUUAAUGUUUGAUGUUCUAACGUUGACCCGUAAUCCGGGUUGCGGACAGUGUCUGGUGGGUAGUUUGACUGGGGCGGUCUCCUCCUAAAGAGUAACGGAGGAGCACGAAGGUUGGCUAAUCCUGGUCGGACAUCAGGAGGUUAGUGCAAUGGCAUAAGCCAGCUUGACUGCGAGCGUGACGGCGCGAGCAGGUGCGAAAGCAGGUCAUAGUGAUCCGGUGGUUCUGAAUGGAAGGGCCAUCGCUCAACGGAUAAAAGGUACUCCGGGGAUAACAGGCUGAUACCGCCCAAGAGUUCAUAUCGACGGCGGUGUUUGGCACCUCGAUGUCGGCUCAUCACAUCCUGGGGCUGAAGUAGGUCCCAAGGGUAUGGCUGUUCGCCAUUUAAAGUGGUACGCGAGCUGGGUUUAGAACGUCGUGAGACAGUUCGGUCCCUAUCUGCCGUGGCGCUGGAGAACUGAGGGGGGCUGCUCCUAGUACGAGAGGACCGGAGUGGACGCAUCACUGGUGUUCGGGUUGUCAUGCCAAUGGCACUGCCCGGUAGCUAAAUGCGGAAGAGAUAAGUGCUGAAAGCAUCUAAGCACGAAACUUGCCCCGAGAUGAGUUCUCCCUGACCCUUUAAGGGUCCUGAAGGAACGUUGAAGACGACGACGUUGAUAGGCCGGGUGUGUAAGCGCAGCGAUGCGUUGAGCUAACCGGUACUAAUGAACCGUGAGGCUUAACCUU
rnacentral:rRNA from 1 species